rnacentral:rRNA from 1 species
CCUACGGAUGGCAGCAGUGGGGAAUAUUGCACAAUGGGGGAAACCCUGAUGCAGCGACGCCGCGUGAGUGAAGAAGUAUCUCGGUACGUAAAGCUCUAUCAGCAGGGAAGAAAAUGACGGUACCUGACUAAGAAGCCCCGGCUAACUACGUGCCAGCAGCCGCGGGAAUACGUAGGGGGCAAGCGGUAUCCGGAUUUACUGGGUGUAAAGGGAGCGUAGACGGCAGCACAAGGCUGGAGUGAAAUCCCGGGGCUUAACCCCGGGACUGCUGUGGAAACUGUGCGGCUGGAGGGCAGGGGGGGUGAGCUGAAUUCCUAGUGUAGGGGUGAAAUGCGUAGAUAGUAGGAGGAACGCCGGUGGCGAAGGCGGCUUACUGGACUGUAACUGACGUUGAGGCUCGAAAGCGUCGGGAGGAAACAGGAUUAGAUACCCUAGUAGUC